rnacentral:RNase_P_RNA from 1 species
CGAGCAAGCUAUGCGGUUGAACGCUUUUGCGUUAGGAAAGUCCGGGCAUCACAGAGCAGGGUAGCUGCUAACGGCAGCCGAGGGCGACCUUAGGGAUAGUGCAGCAGAGAUAUACCGCCGGUAUUUUUGCCGGUAAGGGUGGAAAGGCGAGGUAAGAGCUCACCGGAGUAAUGGAGACAUUACUGCCGUGUAAACCCUACCCGAUGCAACGUCAUUUUGGAGCAAUGGGUUAUUGUCUGCUCGGCAGGCUCAUUGUAACGACGGCUCGAGCGUUUCGGCGACGAUUCGCCAAGAUAGAUUUCCGCA